GAUGAACGCUGGCGGCGUGCCUAAUACAUGCAAGUCGAGCGAACGGACGCGACGCUUGCUUCUCUCUUGUUAGCGGCGGACGUGUGAGUAACACGUGUAUCCCCUACCUAUCAGACUGGGAUAACUUCGGGAAACCGGCUCUAAUACCGUAUGAUCUCUUGCACCACAUGGUUCAAAAGUGAAUGACGGUCUUUCUGUCACUUCUCGCUGGAUCCGCGCUGGAUUAGAUAGUUGGUAAGGUAACGGCUUACCAAGGCAACGAUGCAUAGCCGACCUGAGAGAGUGAUAGGCGACACUGGAGCUGAGACGCGGUCAAGACGCCUGAGAGAGGCAGCAGAAGGGAAUCGGCGGCAGUGGGCGAAAGCAUGACGGAGCAACGCGGAGUGAGUGAUAAAGGUCUUCGGAGCGGAAAACUGGGUUAUGAGGGAAGAACAUAUGUGGAAGGAAACGAGGAGAGCGUGACGGUAACGAAUCAGGAAGCAACGGCUAACUACGUG
rnacentral:rRNA from 1 species